rnacentral:rRNA from 1 species
ACGGGAAGAGCCCAAACCAACAAGCUUGCUUGUUGGGGUUGUAGGACACUCUAUACGGAGUUACAAAGGACGACAUUAGACGAAUCAUCUGGAAAGAUGAAUCAAAGAAGGUAAUAAUCCUGUAGUCGAAAAUGUUGUCUCUCUUGAGUGGAUCCUGAGUACGACGGAGCACGUGAAAUUCCGUCGGAAUCUGGGAGGACCAUCUCCUAAGGCUAAAUACUCUCUAGUGACCGAUAGUGAACCAGUACCGUGAGGGAAAGGUGAAAAGCACCCCGGAAGGGGAGUGAAAUAGAACCUGAAACCGUGUGCUUACAAGUAGUCAGAGCCCGUUAAUGGGUGAUGGCGUGCCUUUUGUAGAAUGAACCGGCGAGUUACGAUUUGAUGCAAGGUUAAGCAGUAAAUGUGGAGCCGUAGCGAAAGCGAGUCUGAAUAGGGCGUUUAGUAUUUGGUCGUAGACCCGAAACCAGGUGAUCUACCCUUGGUCAGGUUGAAGUUCAGGUAACACUGAAUGGAGGACCGAACCGACUUACGUUGAAAAGUGAGCGGAUGAACUGAGGGUAGCGGAGAAAUUCCAAUCGAACCUGGAGAUAGCUGGUUCUCUCCGAAAUAGCUUUAGGGCUAGCCUCAAGUGAUGAUUAUUGGAGGUAGAGCACUGUUUGGA